rnacentral:lncRNA from 1 species
AAAAAUAAUGAUAAUAUUUUAAAUACUCUUUUACCAGCCAUUAAUUUUUGGUUAAACUUCAAAUACCUCUGUAUGGUUUCACACUUUCUCACUUUAGUACUCUGUGAUUUAAAGUGUAUCAAAUUAGCCCCUGUGGUUUUGCACUUUCUCAUUUUAGUACCCUAUGGUUUAAAGUAUAUCAAGUUAUUACCAUAUGAUUUUUUUUCUUUUUAUUAUUCAUUUCACUAAUUUUUUUCGCUAAAUCAGUGACAAAGUUAAAAUUAAAGGAUACAAAAGUGAAUAUUUGAUAAACCUAGGUAGAGUAUCUGAAGUUUUUUGUAUAUAAUUUAACGAAAUAUUAACGGAGGAAAAAAAUCAGUGACAAAAUUAAAACUAAAGGGUACCAAAAUAAAUAUUCGAUAAACCUAGGUAGCGUAUCCGAAAUUUUUUGUAUAUAAUUUAACGAAAUAUUAACAGAGGAGCCGAUGAAAAGAGAAAAAUGAAACCACAUGGUACUAAAUUGAUGCAUUUUAAAUGAGAGGGUACUAAAGUAAGAAAGUGCGAAACCACGGGGUACUAAAUUGAUAUACUUUAAAUCAUAUGGCACUAAAGUGAAAAAAUGCAAAACCACGGGGGUGGUAUUUGAAGUUUUUCCUUAAUUUUUAUAAAAAAUUGCAUAAUUUAAUAGAUUAGU